AGGACGGUUCGAGUAAGUGAUAUUUCGGAACAGUAUCCAGUUCCUUCAAUACCAAUGUGUUCUAGUAAUGGUAUUGAAGGAACUGGAUACUGUUCCGAAAUAUCACUUACUCGAAC